ACGGGUGAGGAAUACAUCGGAAUUUGCCCUGUCGUGGGGGAUAACGUAGGGAAACUUACGCUAAUACCGCAUACGACCUAACGGUGAAAGCGGGGGAUCGCAAGACCUCGCGCGGUUGGAUAAGCCGAUGUCAGAUUAGCUAGUUGGCGGGGUAAAGGCCCACCAAGGCGACGAUCUGUAGCUGGUCUGAGAGGAUGAUCAGCCACACUGGGACUGAGACACGGCCCAGACUCCUACGGGAGGCAGCAGUGGGGAAUAUUGGACAAUGGGGGCAACCCUGAUCCAGCAAUGCCGCGUGUGUGAAGAAGGCCUUCGGGUUGUAAAGCACUUUUAUCAGGAGCGAAACACGUAAGGUUAAUAACCUUGCGGACUGAUGGUACCUGAGGAAUAAGCACCGGCUAACUUCGUGCCAGCAGCCGCGGUAAUACGAAGGGUGCAAGCGUUACUCGGAAUUACUGGGCGUAAAGCGUGCGUAGGUGGUUUCUUAAGUCUGCUGUGAAAGCCCCGGGCUCAACCUGGGAAUUGCAGUGGAUACUGGGGAGCUAGAGUGCGGUAGAGGGUAGUGGAAUUCCCGGUGUAGCGGUG
rnacentral:rRNA from 1 species